AGAGAGAGACAUGCGCGCAUAUCAAUAAGCGGAGGAAAAGAAACUAACAAGGAUUCCCCUAGUAACGGCGAGUGAAGCGGGAAGAGCUCAAAUUUGAAAUCUUAAAGGGUUUCCCUUUACGAAUUGUAGUUUAAAGAAGUGUUUUCUGUUGAGGUUUUGGUAAAAGUUCUUUGGAAUUGGACAUCAUAGAGGGUGAGAAUCCCGUAUUUGACCUUUACUUUCAACUUUGUGAUACACUUUCAAAGAGUCGGAUUGUUUGGGAAUGCAGUCCAAAAUGGGUGGUAAAUUUCAUCUAAAGCUAAAUAUUGGCGAGAGACCGAUAGCGAACAAGUACCGUGAGGGAAAGAUGAAAAGAACUUUGAAAAGAGAGUUAAACAGUACGUGAAAUUGUCAAAAGGGAAGCGUUUGACACCAGUGUUGUUUUUCUGAAAAUCAAUUAAAGAACUGUUUAUGCUAAGUUGUUUAGACUUUAUCAGCUAACUGUUUAGUUUUGAGCUUUUCUUUAAUGCACUUUUCAGUUAACAAGUCAACAUCAAUUUCUUUUGCUGUAAAAAAGCUUGAGGAAGGUGGCUUGAGAUUCGUCUUAAGUGUUUAUAGCCUCUUGCCUAUGCAGUCGGAGAGAUUGAGGUCUGCAGCGUAGAUCCUUCGGGGCUAAAUGCAUUUGUGCUAAGUUAUAGCAUUUUAUAGACAACUUGUUGACUAUGAUUUGUCUUGUAGCUUACUCGCUUAUGUUAUUUUACCUACGCUUAGGAUGUUGAAGACUCUACAGAGAU
rnacentral:rRNA from 1 species